UCUUGGCCAGCAAUUUAAGGGCAGGCUGGAGGGUGCUUUGGCCAAUGUAGUUUAAUGGUGGUGUCCCUGCCUGUGGCUGGGGGUCUUUUUUAUUUACUUAAAAACUCACCUUGCUGGGGAGGGAAUUAGAAACUCUUCAAAUAAGUGGAGUACACAGAACCACUGUAAAAAAUCUGGAUACAGCUUUUUGCCUGUCUCAGCAACCACACUGUCUUCUGCUUAUGGUAAUUUGUAAGGGAGGAGAAGAGAGAGAAAGGAACCUGCACCCUUCUUGGAGCUGUUGACAAGGUCUUAACUGAAAGAGCUGGAUUUAAUUCUAAUUGUGUUCAACCUUUGGCAGAAUGCAAAUGUAAAAUGGGCCAUGUAAAGAACUUUACUGAAGGUGUGCCAGCACAGCAGUAGUAGUGCUACUUCUAAAAGAAAUCCAACCCUGGCAGUCUUUAAUGAGCUAAAAUGUUGCUUCCCUUAGCUAAUGUCCUGUCGCUGGAACAGUUGGACUCAAAGUAAAUGUGAUCUCUUGGAAAGAGCUUGCUCACCUCCCUGCAGUCUGAACAGCACCUCUCUUCCAUUUUUAAAGCCAUUUCUGAAGGUGAUGAUGCUUCGUGUCACAUUUCUUAUCUGAGUAUUCUGUUACUUAGCUGCCAAAGAAUUUACAUUUUUUCAAGGGAAACAAUACAAAUUGGAAAGUCCCCUUGAGAUUGCUGGGGCUUCCUAAUUAUAUUCUGUAACUGUAUUCAAAUUGUAAGGGUAGUUUUACUAGAUAAGUCACAGGCUAUCUUAUUAUCCCUAAUAAAACAAUUUAAUUAUAAAAUAGUCAUGAUUAUAAACCUGAUGCCACAACUGAAGUCAUGUUAAUGCUUCUAUUAAUAAAACCUUCAAUGGCAGGUUGGUGAAGCUUAUAUUUCACUAGAGUGUAUCACUGUGAGGUACAGAUGCAAAGACUUCUGCACAAUGAAAAAUACUUUAUAUUUUAAAAGUGCCAAGGUUUUUUGUAAUAUAACUUCAUGCUGUAACAAUUUCAGUGAGGCAUUACACCACACAGACAGCUGAAUACUUUUACUAAAGAAUAUGGUAUUUCCCUGGGGAAAAACUUCCCUGCAUUUUGGAGGCUUAAUCUUGGAAUUCAUUCAUUCUCAUUUUUGGAAAGUCUGUUUUCACUUCACGUUGGCAAGUUUUGUGCAUUUCUGGGCCCUGAAGUCCAUGGAUAAUUACUUCCUUUUGAUGGCCUGCCUGUGUCAGCAACUGUAGACACUAUGUUUUAUUGUUGGGUUACACCAAUACAUGGUUUUACAAUUCUAGAAUGUGUCAGUACUGUGGCUGUGUCCUAUUAUUCAUUGCUCUUCAAGUCUGAGAUACCACACUUCCUAUGGUGAUGUAGUACAGAGAAUAUUUCCUCUCAGUCACUUUUCCUCAUUAAAAUUCUGUUUUCCUUU
ensembl:lncRNA